AUAAAAGUGGAAUGCGGGCCCAGA
rnacentral:siRNA from 1 species